UUUGUACGAAUACAAUACUUUUAAGAAAAAUUUAAUAAUAAAAAGAAUGUGUAUAAUUAUGUUUGAAUACAACAUAGACACUAUUUAUGAAAUGAUAUUUAUGUUAUAUUAUGAGUUUAUUACUAAUAAAAUUGACAGUUUAGUUAUUUAAAUCACUGCUUAUUUAUUUAUAAGAUUUUAUACGGUAUAUAAGAUGAAUUUUGUUAAAAUUAUCAUCGCUUGUUGGAUAAGCGAAAAGGUGUCAUGGACACUAGUUGGAAAUAUCAGGUUUAUCAGUUAUGUAAGGAAUACAAGAUAUAACAGCAACCAUGUGAGUCCUAUAUACCAAUGGACUACUCCUGUCACCCUGGCGUUUAUCAAUUGAUAAGGGGUUUAACCUUUGUGAGACGUUUUGUAAUAUCUAUACAAACUUGUCGAUGUUUAUGUUACAUGUGCCAUACCCAACACUAAGGAAG
rnacentral:misc_RNA from 1 species